rnacentral:piRNA from 1 species
UAUUUGGUGAACCAUAGUGUUCUGUGUAU